rnacentral:rRNA from 1 species
GAUGAACGCUAGCUACAGGCUUAACACAUGCAAGUCGAGGGGAAACGAUGAGAGAGCUUGCUCUCUUAGUCGUCGACCGGCGCACGGGUGAGUAACGCGUAUCCAACCUGCCUCUGACCAAGGGAUAACCCGUCGAAAGUCGGACUAAUACCUUAUGCAGUCGUCGGAAGUCAUCUGAUGACGACGAAAGAUUUCAUCGGUGAGAGAUGGGGAUGCGUCUGAUUAGCUUGUUGGCGGGGUAACGGCCCACCAAGGCGACGAUCAGUAGGGGUUCUGAGAGGAAGGUCCCCCACAUUGGAACUGAGACACGGUCCAAACUCCUACGGGAGGCAGCAGUGAGGAAUAUUGAUCAAUGGGCGUAAGCCUGAACCAGCCAAGUAGCGUGCAGGAUGACGGCCCUAUGGGUUGUAAACUGCUUUUAUGCGGGGAUAAAGUGAGGGACGUGUCCUUCAUUGCAGGUAUCGCAUGAAUAAGGACCGGCUAAUUCCGUG